UACGGGGGGGGCAAGCGUUGUUCGGAAUUACUGGGCGUAAAGGGCUCGUAGGCGGCCAACUAAGUCAGACGUGAAAUCCCCAGGCUCAACCUGGGAACUGCGUCUGAUACUGGAGGGCUUGAAUUCGGGAGAGGGAUGCAGAAUUCCAGGUGUAGCGGUGAAAUGCGUAGAUAUCUGGAGGAAUACCGGUGGCGAAGGCGGCAUCCUGGACCGACAUUGACGCUGAGGAGCGAAAGCUAGGGGAGCAAACGGG
rnacentral:misc_RNA from 1 species